GAAUACCGGAGAAUGUUAUCACGGGAGACACACGGCGGGUGCUAACGUCCGUCGUGAAGAGGGAAACAACCCAGACCGCCAGCUAAGGUCCCAAAGUCAUGGUUAAGUGGGAAACGAUGUGGGAAGGCCCAGACAGCCAGGAUGUUGGCUUAGAAGCAGCCAUCAUUUAAAGAAAGCGUAAUAGCUCACUGGUCGAGUCGGCCUGCGCGGAAGAUGUAACGGGGCUAAACCAUGCACCGAAGCUGCGGCAGCGACACUAUGUGUUGUUGGGUAGGGGAGCGUUCUGUAAGCCUGUGAAGGUGGCCUGUGAGGGUUGCUGGAGGUAUCAGAAGUGCGAAUGCUGACAUAAGUAACGAUAAAGCGGGUGAAAAGCCCGCUCGCCGGAAGACCAAGGGUUCCUGUCCAACGUUAAUCGGGGCAGGGUGAGUCGACCCCUAAGGCGAGGCCGAAAGGCGUAGUCGAUGGGAAACAGGUUAAUAUUCCUGUACUUGGUGUUACUGCGAAGGGGGGACGGAGAAGGCUAUGUUGGCCGGGCGACGGUUGUCCCGGUUUAAGCGUGUAGGCUGGUUUUCCAGGCAAAUCCGGAAAACCAAGGCUGAGGCGUGAUGACGAGGCACUACGGUGCUGAAGCGACAAAUGCCCUGCUUCCAGGAAAAGCCUCUAAGCAUCAGGUAACAUCAAAUCGUACCCCAAACCGACACAGGUGGUCAGGUAGAGAAUACCAAGGCGCUUGAGAGAACUCGGGUGAAGGAACUAGGCAAAAUGGUGCCGUAACUUCGGGAGAAGGCACGCUGAUAUGUAGGUGAAGCGACUUGCUCGUGGAGCUGAAAUCAGUCGAAGAUACCAGCUGGCUGCAACUGUUUAUUAAAAACACAGCACUGUGCAAACACGAAAGUGGACGUAUACGGUGUGACGCCUGCCCGGUGCCGGAAG
rnacentral:rRNA from 1 species